rnacentral:tRNA from 1 species
UAGAAUACCUGCCUGUCACGCAGGGGGUCGCGGGUUCGAGCCCCGUCCGUUCCGCCA